GCGGGAGUGGCGAAAUUGGCAUACGCGCCAGACUUAGGAUCUGGUGUCUUCGGACGUAGGGGUUCAAGUCCCCUCUCCCGCA
rnacentral:tRNA from 1 species